UGAAGGUGCGGAGGGCUUCUGUCCUGCAUGGAUUCUAAGCACCAGAAGACUGCUUAUACAGGAUAUAACAUGGAAGACUGACACGUGUUUUUUUAAAGCAAGGUUUGACUCCAAACCAGUCCUAUCAUGCCUAAGCAUGCUAUUUCUCCUGUCAUCCCUCUGUAGAUUGUCAUUGCUCAUGUUCCAGUGGGUUACUUGCCCUAUGCCAGGAACACCAAGGUCGUCAGAGAACUCUACAAUGAGAGACUUGUGAAGAUAAUUCACAACUACAGGGAGAUCAUCUCAGGGCAUUUCUAUGGCCACACUCACAGAGACAGCAUAAAGUUCUUGCAGGAUCAGCAAGGGGAGCCGGUUAGUUCCCUGUUUGUCACACCGGCUGUUACUCCAAUCAAAAAGGCAGAAGAGCCGUACUCCAACAAUAGAGCCUUCCACAUGUAGCAUUAUGACACAUAGGACUACGGGCUGCUGGAUAUUUGGCAGUACUACUUGAAUCUCAUCGAAGCAAACCAAGAAAAAAGAUCUGACUGGAAACUUGAAUACGUAAUCACUGAACCACUUGGAUGAAAGGAUAUUCAACCACACAGCUUGUUUCAACUUGCCCUGAGUUUUGAGUUGGGGCAAAGUGAAACGUUUCAGAAGUAUUUUUGCCAUUUUAUGGUGAACUAUGAUGUGUGUGAUGGGGCCUGCAAGCUGACUCAGGUCUUUGCGGUGCAGCCCUUGGACUAUACCUCCUAUAUCAAACAUAUUGAAAAGGGACACUAAAACAGGGAUAUUUUUAUUGUGAACUACUGUAAUGUAAAAACUCAGGGAUUUUAUUAAUGCUGUACAGACAUUUCUUACCUUUAUUUAACUAGGCAAGUCAGUUGAGAACAAAUUCUUAUUUUCAGUGACAGCCUAGAAUCAGUGGGUUAACUGCCUGUUCAGGGGCAGAAUGACAGAUUUGUACCUUAUCAGCUCAGGGGUUUAGAACCUGCAACCUUCCAGUUACUAGUCCAACAGCUCUAACCACUAGGCUACCCUGCCGCCCCAAUAUGUUUUCACAUGACCAUGAAAUAUAAAUGUAUAAUGUAAUACUUUCAAUUUAAUGGUGACAAUUUAAGCAUCUCUGAGGUCGAAAUAAGGACACGAUACCAGAUGAGAAUGCUGAUGAUUAUAUAAUCGCAAAAGGCCAAAUAUUGUGUCCAACUUUUUUUGGACCUUUUAUUGAUUUCUCUUUGACAUGUUGAAAUCAAAGAGAAAUCGAUCGCUAACUGCUAAGUACACUGUAUGGUUAUUGCUUUUAAAAUGUCUGGCAGUUAUUGAAUAAACUGUAAACUGUGAA